GCCGAAUCCUCCCUUAGAGGGACCUAACCCUGAUGACCUCGCGAUCUCAGACUUCCAGGCUCCCAGAUGGGGAGAUGAGACAUCCCUGUUUUAAGCCCCCCCGUUUGUGGUACCUUGUGACAUUUCUAGGAAACAAACAUGGUGGGUAAAAGUACAUGUUUUGAGUUAAAAAAAUAUACAUAUAUACCUAUUUUGAAAUUCUAUUUUCCCUAUUUUGUACCUUGCUGAUCUUGAAUGUAUUCCCUUGACCUCUUAUGCGUCAGUUUGCAGCCAUGAAAUGGAGAGAGUGGUACCAGCCUCCUUGGAGGAUCUGACAAACGAUGAUGUGAAGCGUCUGGAGGGCACCCAGCAAGAAGCGGGGUUUAGUAAAUGCAGAAGAUGGGAGAAGGCAACCACAGAGGUUUGGUCUGAGAGUCCCUUGGCCAGCAAGAGAUCAAACCAGUCAUUCCUAAAGGGAAUCAGUCCUGAAUGUCCAUUGGAAAAGAUCCUGAUGCUCGGAAAGAUUGAGGGCAAGAGGAAAAGCAGGUGACAGAGGAUGGGUGUUGAAUGGCAUCACCAACUCAAUGGACAUGAGUUUGAGCAAACUUCGGAAAGUAGUGAUGGACAGGGAAACCUGGAGUGCUACAGUCCAUGGUGUUGCAAUGAGUUGGACACGACUUAGCAACUAACAACAGUCUGUAUUGCUCAAUGAGGUCCAGAGGAGCAGCCUGUAAGGAAUGUGAGGAGCAUUAUGACUGAUGGCUGAUGGAGUUUCUUGACAGCCCAAGAGGACCUGGGGUGAGAAUAAGACUCCACUGUGUGGAGGAGGACCUGGGAAUGAGACGGGGCAUCUGGUGUACUCAGGUGAGUCUGUAAACAAGCUUCCAUGUGGUUGUGAAGAUAAAUGAGGCCAUGUAUGUAUCGAAUUUAGUGGCUACAUCAGCAGUAAUUAUUGUUAUAAAAUUGUCAUGGGGUAUAUUUCCGUGAACCAAAUAUUAGCACUAAGAAACAAAACAUUUCACCAGUCCCCCAAAAGAGUAAUUAAUAUGUGGAUAACACAGGGCUUCCUAACAUGGGUAGGGCGUGGGCAUAGUGAUUCCAUCUUGGAUGUAGGCAGAGGGGCAUAUGAUCCAUAUUUAAAAGGCCACAAAAUCCAUGUAUUCCUAUAGACGUUCAAAUGAACUGUUUCC
ensembl:lncRNA